rnacentral:lncRNA from 1 species
CAAAGAAACAAAUUAACCAGUGACUGAAUUAAGUGGAGGAACUUGCAUAAUGCAGAGGCAAUAGAUUUUUUCAUAGUUAAGCUGCCACCUACUUUCAUGUUUCAAGUCCAGUUUCCAGGUUUCCCCAUGAAUUUCCUGGAAAGAAUCUUUCUGCCGUGUAUCCAUGCAUAUGUUGGCAUGCAACUUUUUUUUUUUUUUUCAUAGGAAGUGUAGUAAAGAAUAUCAGAAGAGAAUUUUGAAUGCCUUUCCAAUCUGCAUUUCCAAAUCUGCUGGAUCAGUGAUCAUUCAUCAGGACCGUGCUGGUGGCUUGGGCAGCUCAGCGGCUGGAAAAAAAAAACAACCAAAAAAACCCAACGACCACAAGGAAAUCAAUAAACACCUGUUAUUCCCAGAUCCGUAGUUACUUGGACUCAAAGGUGCCUGCAGGCAAAGUUAAAACAAAACCCCCGGUAAGUCUAUCAGCCUUCACAGCCGCCUACUUGCCCACACGAGGGAAGGUGUAAACUAUUUUUUACAGUUUAUCUUAUUAUUUUAUUUCUUUAUUAUGUUUAUUUUUAUUUAAUUAUUAGAUUUUAUUUGAUUUUCAAUUCUAU